CGAGCCGAGCCGAUGCCAAGUCUCCAAACAGGAAGGCGAAUCAAGAGGAAGAAUCGGCAUGGACGAAGGAGCCGCGUGGAGGUCCGUGUGAUAUUUUCAAAUUUUCCCGUUUCCAGUGCUCCUAUUUUCCUGCAACGCCACAUAAUGAAUUCGAGGGAGCACAGCGGUCAUGGUGUGGCAGCCAGUGGACGUCAACCUCGUCAAGGCAACUUGGUCUGGCCUGACCCAAGCACCUCAGCACCUCAUCGCUGGCGAACAAGGCGAACUCCCGGAAGGAUGACUUGGCUGUUGUGGAAUCCAAAAAUGGCGCAAAUGCUCGUAGUAGCGCGUUGAGCUGGACGAGACUGGCCGAAUUCAUGGGUGGGCACCGUGACACAAGCAGCGGAAUUUCAUUAGGUGCUGCCAUCAAAACCUGAUGUUGGGAGUGCAGGUGAUUAAAGGGUGAUUUUGGAAGGCUGGCUUGUCUGUAUUGCUUCAUUGUGCUUGCUGGCGCGACUUCUCUGGGAACGAACCGAAGCGACCUACAUACUAAUCCUGAUGAUGGGCCUGUGAUACUUCUGUUAAGUCAAGCAAUACUUUUUUUUGAGAACCUCUAAUUAAAAGUCGUUCGUUUUUAU